UACGGGGGGGGCAAGCGUUGUUCGGAAUUACUGGGCGUAAAGGGCUCGUAGGCGGCCAACUAAGUCAGACGUGAAAUCCCUCGGCUUAACCGGGGAACUGCGUCUGAUACUGGAUGGCUUGAGUUUGGGAGAGGGAUGCGGAAUUCCAGGUGUAGCGGUGAAAUGCGUAGAUAUCUGGAGGAACACCGGUGGCGAAGGCGGCAUCCUGGACCACGACUGACACUGAAAAGCGAAAGCCAGGGGAGCAAACGGG
rnacentral:rRNA from 1 species